rnacentral:rRNA from 1 species
ACGAAGGCUUCGGCCUUAGUGGCGCACGGGUGCGUAACGCGUGGGAAUCUGCCCUUGGGUUCGGAAUAACAGUUGGAAACGACUGCUAAUACCGGAUGAUGUCGCGAGACCAAAGAUUUAUCGCCCAGGGAUGAGCCCGCGUCGGAUUAGGUAGUUGGUGGGGUAAAGGCCUACCAAGCCGACGAUCCGUAGCUGGUCUGAGAGGAUGAUCAGCCACACUGGGACUGAGACACGGCCCAGACUCCUACGGGAGGCAGCAGUGGGGAAUAUUGGACAAUGGGCGAAAGCCUGAUCCAGCAAUGCCGCGUGAGUGAUGAAGGCCUUAGGGUUGUAAAGCUCUUUUGCCCGGGAUGAUAAUGACAGUACCGGGAGAAUAAGCUCCGGCUAACUCCGUGCCAGCAGCCGCGGUAAUACGGAGGGAGCUAGCGUUGUUCGGAAUUACUGGGCGUAAAGCGCACGUAGGCGGCUUUGUAAGUCAGGGGUGAAAGCCUGGAGCUCAACUCCAGAACUGCCUUUGAGACUG